UACAGAGGUCCCGAGCGUUGUUCGGAUUCAUUGGGCGUAAAGGGUGCGUAGGCGGCCCUGUAAGUCAGUGGUGAAAGCCUCCAGCUCAACUGGAGAACUGCCAUUGAUACUGCAGGGCUUGAGUACAGACGAGGUUGGCGGAAUUGAUUGUGUAGCGGUGAAAUGCAUAGAUACAAUCAAGAACUCCGAUUGCGUAGGCAGCUAACUAGGCUGUAACUGACGCUGAGGCACGAAAGCGUGGGGAGCGAACAGG
rnacentral:rRNA from 1 species